UAGUCCACGCCGUAAACGAUGUCUAUUAGCCGUUGGGGACCUAGUGUCCUUAGUGGCGCAGCUAACGCGAUAAAUAGACCGCCUGGGGAGUACGGCCGCAAGGUUGAAACUCAAAUGAAUUGACGGGGGCCCGCACAAGCGGUGGAGCAUGUGGUUUAAUUCGAUGCAACGCGAAGAACCUUACCAGGUCUUGACAUCCUGCGAAUUUUCUAGAGAUAGAUUAGUGCCUUCGGGAACGCAGUGACAGGUGCUGCAUGGCUGUCGUCAGCUCGUGUCGUGAGAUGUUGGGUUAAGUCCCGUAACGAGCGCAACCCUUGUCCUUAGUUGCUAACAUUAAGUUGAGCACUUUAAAGAGACUGCCGGUGACAAACCGGAGGAAGGUAAGGAUGACGUCAAGUCAGCAUGCCCCUUAUGCUCUGGGCUACACACGUGCUACAAUGGCCGUGACAAAGAGUUGCUACUUUGUGAAAACAAGCUAAUCUCAUAAACGCGGCCUCAGUUCGGAUUG
rnacentral:rRNA from 1 species